UCUGGCUUAUAGCCAAGCGGUAUCACUAGAGUGCCCAACUAAAUGCUGGUAACUAGUGACGAGGGUUGCGCUCGUUGCGGGACUUAACCCAACAUCUCACAACACGAGCUGACGACAGCCAUGCAGCACCUGUCACCGCGUCCCCGAAGGGAACUCCUGCUUUCACAGGAUAGCGCGGGAUGUCAAAUCUAGGUAAGGUUUUUCGCGUAGCAUCGAAUUGAACCACAUGCUCCACCGCUUGUGCGGGCCCCCGUCAAUUUCUUUGAGUUUUAAUCUUGCGACCGUACUUCCCAGGCGGGAUACUUAAUGCGUUAGCUUCGUCACCAAAACAAUUAGGUAUUCUGACGACUAGUAUCCAUCGUUUAGGGCGUGGACUAC
rnacentral:misc_RNA from 1 species